GAGGAACCUGCCUUUCAGAGGGGGACAACAGUUGGAAACGACUGCUAAUACCGCAUGAAGCAGCGAGAUCGCAUGGUCUUGCUGCCAAAGAUUUAUCGCUGAAAGAUGGCCUCGCGUCUGAUUAGAUAGUUGGUGAGGUAACGGCUCGCCAAGUCGACGAUCAGUAGCCGGACUGAGAGGUUGAACGGCCACAUUGGGACUGAGAUACGGCCCAGACUCCUACGGGAGGCAGCAGUGGGGAAUAUUGGGCAAUGGGGGAAACCCUGACCCAGCAACGCCGCGUGAAGGAAGAAGGCUUUCGGGUUGUAAACUUCUUUUACCAGGGACGAAGAACGUGAUGGUACUUGGAGAAAAAGCCACGGCUAACUACGUGCCAGCAGCCGCGGUAAUACGUAGGUGGCAAGCGUUGUCCGGAUUUACUGGGUGUAAAGGGCGUGUAGGCGGGGCUGCAAGUCAGAAGUGAAAUCUAUGGGCUUAACCCAUAAACUGCUUUUGAAACUGUGGCUCUUGAGUAUCGGAGAGGCAGGCGGAAUUCCUAGUGUAGCGGUGAAAUGCGUAGAUAUUAGGAGGAACACC
rnacentral:rRNA from 1 species